CGACAGAAGAAGCACCGGCUAACUCCGUGCCAGCAGCCGCGGUAAUACGGAGGGUGCGAGCGUUAAUCGGAAUUACUGGGCGUAAAGCGCAUGCAGGUGGUUUGGUUAAGUUCAGAUGUGAAAGACCCGGGGCGUCAACCUCGGAAUAGCAUUUGAAACUAGGCAGACUAGAGUACUGUAGAGGGGGGUAGGAAGUUUCUAGGUGUAGCGGUGAAAUAGCGUAGAGAUCUGAAGGAAUACCGGUGGCGAAGGCGGCCCCCUCGGACAGAUACUGACACUCAGAUGCGAAAGCGUGGGGAGCAAACAGGAUUAGAUACCCUGGUAG
rnacentral:rRNA from 1 species